UCAAAAGAGAAAUCCUGCCAAAAGCGCUCAAGGACAAAGGGAUUGCCAUGGAAAGCAUAACUGUGUAUCAGACAAUUGCACACCCAGGAAUGCAAGGGAACCUGAACAGCUACUAUUCCCAGCAGGGGGUUCCAGCCAGCAUCACAUUUUUUAGUCCCUCUGGCCUCACAUACAGUCUCAAGCACAUUCAGGAGUUAUCUGGUGACAAUAUCGAUCAAAUUAAGAAACACCCUUGAACUGGCUCCAGAGGGACUGAGGAGAGGGUGCAGGAUGUGACCCAGAGCCCAAGGACAGACACUGCCACUCACUGCAGUCAGGAAGAGCAAAAGGCUUCACCUGCCUUCUCACAGGUGCAUCUCAUGUGGGGAGUAUGCACCGCUCUCCCAGUUUUAAAGAUGGAGCACGGGGCUCAGAGACGUCAUAUGGCCUGUCUGUAGGUCACACUGCUGAGAAGGAAGAGCUGCAAUUGAACCUGGGAAGACUGAUUCCACAUUGUCAGCCAUGGUGAUGCCUUGCCAUGGUCUCAGGAGCUGCUGAGCAGUUGAUGCACUUCUGGGCAGUAACUGAUACAAUUCUCACACCAGUCCAGUGGAGUCCCUGUAGGGCCCACUGUUUGUACAGCAUUGCACAACAUGCAGGCGCACCACAAAAGAUCAAAGGGGGUGACUUCCGACCUGAACUUGCUACUUAUCCAUUGACUUGGGAAGACCACACACUUGUCUAUAAAUGCCACAGAGAUGUCACUGCAAAGCAGUAGUUUGCAGCCAUCGGCCCCACUACGGCUCGCGCGCUGGCCGCCCAGGGCCUUCCUGUAAGCUGCACUGCAGAGAGCCCCACGCCACAAGCCCUGGCCACUGGCAUCAGGAAGGCUCUCCAGCCCCAUGGCUGCUGCUGAGUCAGCCACCUAGCACUUGCCCCAUGCAGCCUCCCUGGGCUGGGCUGGCUCUGGAUGGAGCCAGGCAUCGGCAAGGGCUCUCGGGAGCUGCUGCCGUCAGACUCCUGCCUCAAGCCUGAGUGGAAGCACCUGAGGACCGGGGA
rnacentral:sRNA from 1 species